AGCCUGGAUUUGAACACAUUGCUUCUUUAUGUCUUUAAGGUAUUGAAGGAUUUUUUUUAUUUUUUAUUUAUUUGUUUUUCUGAGAUGGAGUCUCACUCUGUCACCCAUCACCUAGGCUGGAGUGGCACAAACUCGGCUCACUGCAACCUCUACCUCUCAGGUUCAAGCGAUUCUCAUGCCUCAGCCUCCUGAGUAGGGAUUACAGACAUGCAUCACCAUGCCUGGCUAAUUUUUAUAUUUUUGGUAGAGACGGGGUUUCACCAUGUUGGUCAGGCUAGUCUCGAACUCCUGACCCCGUGAACCACCCGCCUUGGCCUCCCAAAGUCCUGGGAUUACAGGCGUGAGCCACCGCGCCCAGCCAGUAUUGAAGGAUUUUAGGAAAGGCUUUGACCAAAUGUUUAUGUGCACAUCAUAAGACAUAAGCAUGAUCUACUUAAAGCUAUUUCAAUUUCCUCAUUCAUUUUUCUAGACUAGUUAUAGAGACUGGCACCUGUAUAUUCACUUAUUUGUAUGACCAAAUUAUCGUCAAUAUGCUUCUCUGUAUAAUUUUUUCUUUCAUUCCAAUUGUCUCAUCUCUUUAUUUGGUAUUGGGAAACAAAUGAAUUGAACAUAUUCUAGUUUUCCUUUUAUUUACUUUUAAAGUAAAUAAAAUUUUAAUUUUCCUUUUAUUUACUUUUAAAGUAAUAGCAUUUUGACAUUUCCAUUUCCUAGUGUGCCCUCCUGGAUUUUAUGGCUUGAAUUAUGCUCACAUCUAUGACUGCAAAAAAUGGAGCUAGUUGUGAUGCAGCAAGGGAACAGUGCAUUUGCCCAGCAGGUGUCCACAGCAGCCGAUGUGAAAAAGUGUUCACCUGGCAUGUUUGGAGAUGAUUGCCAUCAACUUUGUGACUGUGAAGGAGAAAACUUCUGCCACCCAAAAACUGAAAAAUGCCUCUGCCCCCCUGGGAGAACUGAGUCCGAUGUGAUGCUGGUAAGUCUCCUGUAUUGGGCAUUCAGCGUGAGUGUUGCCUUUCUCUGACCUCAAGACAACUAGCCAACUUUCCCUGUGUCCUUCACAAUGCAACCACUAAAGCUCUACUGAAUACUCUGAUUCUGAGAAGGCACCUUAAAAAUGUAAGUAGCUGUCCUGACUUCUCUUUUCAGUGUUACCACUAAUUUCCUUGACACUCCCAGCCUUCUCCUGUUUUCCAUCGGCGUUCUUACUUUUAUCACAUAGCAUUCUAGCAUGGGAAGAUACUCCAUGGUAAAAAAGAAUACUUUACAAACGUAUAAUUAUCUUAUUGAAUGCCAAGAAGUAAUAGUAAGAACACAGUGUGUUUUUGAAAGCAUAUCUGAAUUGCUUUUAUUUUUAUUUUCUCCCUCAUAGAAUGCAGGCCGGGCCUGUAUGGACCAAACUGUGCUCUCAAGUGUCAGUGUGGUCACGUAGCUCACUGCAGCCCUCUCAGUGGGAGCUGCACUUGCGUUUUUAAGACAAUGGAUCCAACCUAUGAGGAAAGUGGUUCAGAUGAUCCUCAAUAUCCAAAUACUAACAACUUUUCAGUUGGUGAAUAGAAUUUUGCAGACUUUCAUCCAUGGUUUAUUAUUUUAACUUUAACAGAGAAAUGUACUUACUCAGCCAUCUUCAGCCCAUCCCGACCUGUUGUGGGGUAAAUACCAGGAUGUCUCAACUUUGUCAUCUCCAAGCACAAGUCUCAGUCUCUAGCCUAGCCUUCCCAACGGUUUUUUGCUGAAUAAUAUACCCAAUAAUAAGAGAAUGUUAUUUCAGGAUCCCAAUCAUAGUAAUGUUUGGGCUAAUAAGUGGACCUUUUUUAUAUGCACAGGAGGUAUUUAAAUUUGG
ensembl:lncRNA